GCCACUGUGGUAUAGUGGUCUGAAUGCUGGACUAGGACUCUGGAGACCUGGGUUCAAAUCCCCACUCAGCCA